AACUUGGUAGUGUAGUGGUAGCACGCGUCUCCGAUAUGGAUGAAACGCGGGUUCGACUCCCGCCUAAGGCCA